CGGGAAUUUUGGGCAAUGGGCGAAAGCCUGACCCAGCAACGCCGCGUGAGGGAUGAAGUAUUUCGGUAUGUAAACCUCGAAAGAAUGGGAAGAAUAAAUGACGGUACCAUUUAUAAGCUCCGGCUAACUACGUGCCAGCAGCCGCGGUAAUACGUAGGGAGCAAGCGUUGUUCGGAUUUACUGGGCGUAAAGGGCGCGUAGGCGGCGCGGUAAGUCACUUGUGAAAUCUCUGAGCUUAACUCAGAACGGCCAAGUGAUACUGCUGUGCUAGAGGGCGGAAGAGGCAACCGGAAUUCUUGGUGUAGCGGUGAAAUGCGUAGAUAUCAAGAGGAACACCUGAGGCGAAGGCGGGUUGCUGGGCCGACACUGACGCUGAUGCGCGAAAGCCAGGGGAGCAAACG
rnacentral:rRNA from 1 species